rnacentral:rRNA from 1 species
GUCCACGCCGUAAACGAUGGGUACUAGGUGUUCGGGUAUUGACCCCCUGAGUGCCGCAGCUAACGCAUUAAGUACCCCGCCUGGGGACUACGGCCGCAAGGCUAAACUCAAAGGAAUUGACGGGGCCCGCACAAGCGGUGGAGCAUGUGGUUUAAUUCGACGCAACGCGAAGAACCUUACCUGGGCUAGACAACAUCGGACAGCCCCAGAAAUGGGGUCUCCCCGCAAGGGGCCGUGGUUCAGGUGCUGCAUGGCUGUCGU